rnacentral:rRNA from 1 species
UGGAAAGUUUUUUCGGUACGAGAUGAGCCCGCGGCCUAUCAGCUUGUUGGUGGGGUAAUGGCCUACCAAGGCGUCGACGGGUAGCCGGCCUGAGAGGGUGGACGGCCACAUUGGGACUGAGAUACGGCCCAGACUCCUACGGGAGGCAGCAGUGGGGAAUAUUGCACAAUGGGCGCAAGCCUGAUGCAGCGACGCCGCGUGAGGGAUGACGGCCUUCGGGUUGUAAACCUCUUUCGACAGGGACGAAGCUUUUUGUGACGGUACCUGUAUAAGAAGCACCGGCUAACUACGUGCCAGCAGCCGCGGUAAUACGUAGGGUGCGAGCGUUGUCCGGAAUUACUGGGCGUAAAGAGCUCGUAGGUGGUUUGUCGCGUCGUCUGUGAAAUUCCGGGGCUUAACUCCGGGCGUGCAGGCGAUACGGGCAUAACUUGAGUGCUGUAGGGGAGACUGGAAUUCCUGGUGUAGCGGUGGAAUGCGCAGAUAUCAGGAGGAACACCGAUGGCGAAGGCAGGUCUCUGGGCAGUAACUGACGCUGAGGAGCGAAAGCAUGGGGAGCGAACAGGAUUAGAUACCCUGGUAGUCCAUGCCGUAAACGGUGGGCGCUAGGUGUGAGGGUCUUCCACGACUUUCGUGCCGUAGCUAACGCAUUAAGCGCCCCGCCUGGGGAGUACGGCCGCAAGGCUAAAACUCAAAGGAAUUGACGGGGGCCCGCACAAGCGGCGGAGCAU